ACUGCAGCAGCGGCCUGCCCCGGUCCUCCGCCUCCUCUCCGUCCUCGCCCUCCUCCUCCAGGGAGUGGGUGUGUCUGAAGUACGUCUGUGCGUAGAUGUAGUAGAGGCCGGGCUGCGGCACCACCAGCUCCCCGUCCACCAGCUGGACGUCCUGGAGGAAGGCCAGCCCCUUCUGCCCCUCCCACCAUGAGAUCUUCUGGCCCUGAACUCGGCGCCCAGCGGAGACGGGAGCUGCGGAAAAAAACAAACCCAACCGGAGAAACAUCACAAGCUAGAAGGUCUACCCAGCAGCCUUUUGAUGACUUUAACCCUAAACUUGUGCUGAAAUCUGGAUCAGGAAUAAGAAGGAGCCUCCAUGUUCAGGUUUCAGUUCCUCCUGUAUUUCUGCUGCAUGUCAUCUGGGCUAAUGAUUAAUUCCUAUAAACACAGACUGAGAGUUGAGCUGGACUAAAUCCAGGUAACCAAAAAGGACCUGGCCUCACCAAAACAAGCAGAGAGCGCAGCUACAGAACCAGAGCCAUGAAGAAGACUUCCC